rnacentral:tRNA from 1 species
AUUAAGGUAGCAAAGCGGACCAUGCAAAAGGCUUAAAACCUUUACACAGAUGUUCAAAUCAUCUCCUUAAUA